rnacentral:rRNA from 2 species
AUGAUUUAUUAUUUAAUGGCCGCGGUAUUUUGACCGUGCGAAGGUAGCAUAAUCAUUAGUCCAUUUAUUGUGGGAUAGUAUGAAUGGUUUGACGAAAUAUUACCUGUCUCAUUUUAAUAGCUUAAAAUUUAAUUUUUUAGUUAAAAAGCUUAAUUUUUUUUAAAGGACGAGAAGACCCUAUAGAUCUUUAUUUUUAUUAUUUUUUUAUUUUUUAGGUUAUUUUAUUAUAUUUAUAUUUAUUAUUUUGUUGGGGUGAUAUUAGGAUAUAUUUAACUCCUUUUAUUUUUUAUCAUUUGUUUUUGUUUUUUUUUUGAUCUUUUAUUAUUGCUUAUAAGAAUAAGAUACCUUAGGGAUAACAGCGUAAUUCUUUUUAAGAGUUCAUAUUUACAAUGGAGUUUGCGACCUCGAUGUUGAAUUAAGAUUAUUUUUGGGUGAAGUAGCUUGAUUAUUAAGUCUGUUCGACUUUUAAUAUCUUACAUGAUCUGAGU